UACGGAGGGUGCAAGCGUUAUCCGGAUUCACUGGGUUUAAAGGGUGCGUAGGUGGGCAGGUAAGUCAGUGGUGAAAUCUCCGAGCGUAACUCGGAAACUGCCGUUGAUACUAUUUGUCUUGAAUAUUGUGGAGGUAAGCGGAAUAUGUCAUGUAGCGGUGAAAUGCUUAGAUAUGACAUAGAACACCAAUUGCGAAGGCAGCUUACUACACAACGAUUGACGCUGAGGCACGAAAGCGUGGGGAUCAAACAGG
rnacentral:rRNA from 1 species